CGUCGUUUUCGGGGCCGGCUUGGCUUACGCAGGCUUGGUUUGGGACUGCCUCAGGAGUCGUGGGGCGGUGUGAUUCCCGCCGGUUUUGCCUCGCGUCUGCCUGGUCGUGUCUCGGAGCGGUGGUCUCUCCUCUCUCGGUCCCGGGAGAGGCGUCUUCCGGGGACGUUCCCGUCGCCCCUGCCGCCGCUGGCUCUCGUUCGGCUGUGUCGUCCCCCCUCCCCGUCUCGCCGUCGGUUCUCCCCGGUCGGUCGGCCCGGCCGUGCUGCCGGACCCCCCCUUCUGGGGGGGGAUGGCCGGGCACGCACGCGUCCGGGCGGCCACUGUGGUCCGGGAGCCGCUCGGCAGGCGGGUGAGCCAGUUGGAGGGGCGUCAUGCCCCCGCGGGCUCCCGUGGCCGACGCCGCGUGUUCUUUGGGGGGCCUGUGCGUGCGGGAAGGCUGCGCACGUUGUCGGUCCUUGCGAGGGAAAGAGGCUUUUUUUUUUUAGGGGGUCGUCCUUCGUCGUCCCGUCGGCGGUGGAUCCGGCCUGGCCGAGGUGCGUCUGCGGGUUGGGGCUCGUCCGGCCCCGUCGUCCUCCGGGAAGACGUUUAGCGGGUACCGUCGCCGCGCCGAGGUGGGCGCACGUCGGUGAGAUAACCCCGAGCGUGUUUCUGGUUGUUGGCGGCGGGGGCUCCGGUCGAUGUCUUCCCCCCCCCCUCUCCCCGAGGCCAGGUCAGCCUUCCGCCUGUGGGCUUCGUCGGCCGUCUCCCCUCCCUCACGUCCCUCGCGAGCGAGCCGUCCGUUCGACCUUCCUUCCGCCUUCCCUCCAUCUUUCGCGCUCGUGGCCCGGGGUUUCACGGCGCCCCCACGCUCCUCCGCCUCUCGCCGUGGUUGGACGCCUGUCCGGCCUCCCGCCGACCCCGUUGGCGUGGUCUCGCUCCCGCCUGCUCUCGGUCUCCCGACCCCGCCCGGAGGGUUCGGGGUUCCGGUCCUCCCCGGCGUUGCGCCUCGCUGCCGUGUUUGGUGGGGGUUGGCCCGCUGCGGCCCCGCACCCGCUCACGAGCUCCGCCCGUGGCCCGCCGUCUGGCAUGGUUUCGCGACGCGGUCGGUAG
rnacentral:lncRNA from 1 species